AUUGAACGCUGGCGGCAGGCCUAACACAUGCAAGUCGAGCGGUAGAGAGGUGUUUGCAUCUCUUGAGAGCGGCGGACGGGUGAGUAAUGCCUAGGAAUCUGCCUAGUGGUGGGGAUAACGUUCGGAAACGGACGCUAAUACCGCAUACGUCCUACGGGAGAAAGCGGGGGAUCUUCGGACCUCGCGCCAUUAGAUGAGCCUAGGUCGGAUUAGCUAGUUGGUGAGGUAAUGGCUCACCAAGGCGACGAUCCGUAACUGGUCUGAGAGGAUGAUCAGUCACACUGGAACUGAGACACGGUCCAGACUCCUACGGGAGGCAGCAGUGGGGAAUAUUGGACAAUGGGCGAAAGCCUGAUCCAGCCAUGCCGCGUGUGUGAAGAAGGUCUUCGGAUUGUAAAGCACUUUAAGUUGGGAGGAAGGGUAGUAACCUAAUACGUUGCUACUUUGACGUUACCGACAGAAUAAGCACCGGCUAACUUCGUGCCAGCAGCCG
rnacentral:rRNA from 1 species